GGAUAAGUUUGUUAGCAUAAAAGUUUUGGAAGCUUUGAAAGUACCAGCAUAAUGAAGACAUUAGUUGUCGUUUUGCUAUUUGCUCUUGUUGGACUUAUUUACGCAAGAGGUAAUCGAAACUUAAAAGAAGAGAUAGAAGAUGAAAUUUCUCAAGAAAUCAUGAAUGAUAUUGAAGAAAAUAAUGAAUUUGACUUAGAGGAUCAAGCUGAAGUUAAUGAUCCGAAUCCUGAACCUUUCUUAUGGUGGCGAAGAAGAAAAAAUAGAAGAAGACAUAUAACAAUACCCAUUGACGAAUAUCUUAAAUUAAAAUCAAAGAAAGUUUGAAGUUUCAAAGUUUAACUUUUGAGCAAUAUUAUUGUAAUUUUUUUUUUUUUAUAAAAAAAUUAUACAAGAUUUAUUUUUGAUUUUUUUUUAUUAAAAUAGAUAUAUUUCAUUUUAAAAUGAAA
rnacentral:lncRNA from 1 species